CCGACCUUAGCUCAGUUAGUAGAGCGGACGACUGUUAGUUUGAUUAAUCUAAAUUGGAAAUCCUUAGGUCGCUGGUUCGAAUCCGGCAGGUCGGA
rnacentral:tRNA from 1 species